AUAUAUAUAAUGAUAUAUAUAUUUAUAUAUAUUUUAAAGAAAGUAUUUUAUUUUAAUAUAAAUAAUAUUUAUUAUAUAAUAUUUUAUAAUAUAAAUAUAAUUUAUAAAUACAUAAUAAUUUAUUUUAAAGUAUUAAAUAUAUUCUAUUAUAUAUUAUAUUACAUACUUAAUUAAUGUAUAAUAUAUUUUAAAUAUAUUUUGUUUAUAAAUAUAAAUUAUAAUAAUAAUAUAUAU
rnacentral:lncRNA from 1 species